rnacentral:rRNA from 1 species
GGGACACGUGGUAUCCUGUCUGAAUAUGGGGGGACCAUCCUCCAAGGCUAAAUACUCCUGACUGACCGAUAGUGAACCAGUACCGUGAGGGAAAGGCGAAAAGAACCCCGGCGAGGGGAGUGAAAAAGAACCUGAAACCGUGUACGUACAAGCAGUGGGAGCACAGGUUUACCUGUGUGACUGCGUACCUUUUGUAUAAUGGGUCAGCGACUUAUAUUCUGUAGCAAGGUUAACCGUAUAGGGGAGCCGGAGGGAAACCGAGUCUUAACCGGGCGUUAAGUUGCAGGGUAUAGACCCGAAACCCGGUGAUCUAGCCAUGGGCAGGUUGAAGGUUGGGUAACACUAACUGGAGGACCGAACCGACUAAUGUUGAAAAAUUAGCGGAUGACCUGUGGCUGGGGGUGAAAGGCCAAUCAAACCGGGAGAUAGCUGGUUCUCCCCGAAAGCUAUUUAGGUAGCGCCUCGUGAAUUCAUCUCCGGGGGUAGAGCACUGUUUCGGCUAGGGGGCCAUCCCGGCUUACCAACCCGAUGCAAACUGCGAAUACCGGAGAAUGUUAUCACGGGAGACACACGGCGGGUGCUAACGUCCGUCGUGAAGAGGGAAACAACCCAGACCGCCAGCUAAGGUCCCAAAGUCAUGGUUAAGUGGGAAACGAUGUGGGAAGGCCCAGACAGCCAGGAUGUUGGCUUAGAAGCAGCCAUCAUUUAAAGAAAGCGUAAUAGCUCACUGGUCGAGUCGGCCUGCGCGGAAGAUGUAACGGGGCUAAACCAUGCACCGAAGCUGCGGCAGCGAACGUAUCACCCAAGACAACUUUACGGAGUUGACGAUUGACGGAGCGAAGCGACGUCAAAGCGUUCAUUAAAGUCGAGUUGGCUUAGGGAUACGUUCGUUGGGUAGGGGAGCGUUCUGUAAGCCUGUGAAGGUGGCCUGUGAGGGUUGCUGGAGGUAUCAGAAGUGCGAAUGCUGACAUAAGUAACGAUAAAGCGGGUGAAAAGCCCGCUCGCCGGAAGACCAAGGGUUCCUGUCCAACGUUAAUCGGGGCAGGGUGAGUCGACCCCUAAGGCGAGGCCGAAAGGCGUAGUCGAUGGGAAACGGGUUAAUAUUCCCGUACUUGGUGUUACUGCGAAGGGGGGACGGAGAAGGCUAUGUUGGCCGGGCGACGGUU